UUUGGACUGCCUACAUGGAG
rnacentral:miRNA from 1 species